rnacentral:lncRNA from 1 species
AUUCCCCUUCCUUGGCUAAAACCUCUCUUUUCCACGUUUUUAUACCCUCCCUAAUCACCUUCGAUUUGUGCAUAAUCGCCUUGUCAGGCUCUUCAGCCCCGAUAAAAUUAGCAAUCGCUUUAAGAACUACCUCAUCGAAAUCCUUUCUCUCAAACCACGAAUUGAAAAAUCUAAACGGCUUGGGUCCCCGUAGUUUUUAUCCGAGCAAGUCAAAACUAAAGGGCAGUGGUCCAAUAGAAAUCUCGGUAACGCCCGAAGGCAUGCCACCGGCCACUCAGAAAAGAACUCUUGACAGACCAAAACUCUAUCAAUCUUGCUAAGUUUAUUACCGUAAUCUAAAUGAAUAGUGUUUGACCUGGUGUUGUGUUUUGAUUGGAUUAUCUUGCCAUCGUGUCCUCAUCACCGCAAAACUAGCCACACGUUACAUUUGUGCCCACCAUAUAAAACCCUCAACCCUGCCCCACACCCACCAUCGGAAGGGAGAAUCCAUGAGGUGGUUACCGGCGGCCACACCUCCAGAUGAACAUCAAAAUUUAAGCAGACUUCAUCUUCAUCAUCUAAUUCAACACAUAUCGCCGCCCUAGGUAUAGAAAGAGGGAGCCGACCAUAGAAAAGGGAACUUCGGGGAAGUUUUUCCGAUUGUGUUGGCGCAUCAAUUGAGACCUCAGACAGUCGGCGGCUAGGGUUCAUGACUCGAAGGUGAUGACGGAGACGAUGUGGGUUAAGUUUCAGGCGAUCAAUGGUGUCAAACGAUGGUCGUUCAAAACAACUAGGCGAUCGGAGACAGUCAAAACAAGGGAACGCAUUCUGGUCACCUAUGGUUUAGGGUUUUGAACAUACCGACGAUUAGGAAGGCGAUAUGUUUGUUGAGUCCUGAGUUUUUCUGUUUGGGAUGAUGUUUUAUGUCGAGAUUAAAGGAUAUGGGAAUGAAUGCUCUUAGUACGUUGGGUUUCACUGUUAUCUUUUUUUCUGCCAAGUAAUGCAGAACAAUAUCAGAUCAAGUGAUCAGGUGGUGGUUUAUUUUUCAAGCAAGAUGGGUUCCAUGGUGAGGAUGGUUGAGAACGGGGUGGAGGUGGUGAGCAAACGACGGAGAAAGAAUAGGGGCCCGUGAUAGUGAUGGAAUCAUGGGUUGGAAUUGUAUAGGUACACAUAGAAAUAGCAAGGGAGCCAAUGAGGACAUCAUUAGUGGUGCUGAAAAAGGAGAAAACAACUGAUGGCGCAAUCGAACACCGUUUCUCCUUUGCUUAGUCUCCCUUCUUCACCUUUCCUUGCCGCGAGAUACCUAGAGCAUGCCUGAUUUUUGUUCACGGAUGCUUUAGAUGGUGGUUUAGGUGAGCUUCGGCGGCUACUAUGACCUGACUGUAAGAAUUCAUGCCUCCUUUGUUUCAAUAGGAGAGCAAACUGAAAUAACACCAGGAAAAUCUUUUGAAGGCAGAAUAUAAUGGUGACACCCCUCUUAUUCAUGCUGCAAGGCUAUUGCUAAAUACCUCAUUGAAAUGGGGUUGAUACUUCACUAUCGAGUGAGUUAGGGGCUAUGGCUUUGCAUCAUGUUGCCUGGAAUAGGUUUAGAGAAGAAAGCAACCAAUAAAAGGGAAGGAGAUGACCAUCCGUCGGUGGUUGUGUGAGUCGGAAUGUGCGUGUCAGCGUGUACAUGUUCUCUAGAGGGUGGUUUUGCACCCCCAAUUUCUCAAAUGUCUGUUCUUACAUUCCAAAUCGAUGAAAUUAAAGUUGGACUUUGAAAUCCGCUUCAACAUAUGCUUUUUGGCUAUGGAGAUUAACUUUUCUGGUGCAAAUUCAUGCUGAAUUUGAGGCUCUUUUACAUGGCAUGAUUUCGCUAUUUAUGUUUGUCUCUAAGGUUGCAUGCUAAAUGUUCAUAAUAACUGACAAGUACUCUGUAGAAUUGUUUUUAUUAAGGCUCUGUUGAUAAUAUU